GACGAACGCUGGCGGCGUGCUUAACACAUGCGAGUCGAACGGAAAGGCCCUGCUUUUGUGGGGUGCUCGAGUGGCGAACGGGUGAGUAACACGUGAGUAACCUGCCCUUGACUUUGGGAUAACUUCAGGAAACUGGGGCUAAUACCGGAUAGGAGCUCCUGCUGCAUGGUGGGGGUUGGAAAGUUUCGGCGGUUGGGGAUGGACUCGCGGCUUAUCAGCUUGUUGGUGGGGUAGUGGCUUACCAAGGCUUUGACGGGUAGCCGGCCUGAGAGGGUGACCGGCCACAUUGGGACUGAGAUACGGCCCAGACGCCUACGGGAGGCAGCAGUGGGGAAUAUUGCACAAUGGGCGGAAGCCUGAUGCAGCAACGCCGCGUGCGGGAUGACGGCCUUCGGGGUGUAAACCGCUUUCGCCUGUGACGAAGCGUGAGUGACGGUAAUGGGUAAAGAAGCGCCGGCUAACUACGUG
rnacentral:rRNA from 1 species